UCUUUCGUUCAAUUUGCAUUCUUCGAAAUGAAAGCUUUAAAAGGACAAGAAAAUUGUAGGGUUCCCACUUCUAACUAUUUAACGAAAUAUCGAUGGGGCAGAAAUUUGAAAAUUUUACGAUACACAGAAUUUUCCACAUUUUUAUUCGCCCAUCUAUCUUACCUUUUUUAUAUUAGAAUGUCGUAAUUCCAUCUGUGUUUAAAAUAUACAGAAGAUUAAAUUCUUUGCUCAAGUAUGUGCAACGAAAAUUCGUACGAUGCUAUGAAUAUUUCAAGUAAGUGUAACUGAUGCAAUAAAGAAUGUUAACUAAUUUUAAAAUAUUCCAAAAAUAUUUGCAAAUUUGUAAACGAUCCAAAAAUGCAAUUUUUAUAUUAGUAGGUAAUUAAAAUAAAUCGAGAGAAUUUGACAAACGUUUUAGAACUUUUGUUGAAAAUAAAUAUACAAUUUUUUAAAUUAUCUUAUCCUUCUUUCGAAUAUUGUAUUUUAACGUAUGAGAUAUCUAUUACAGGUUUCUUCUAUACGAUUGAAAAGCGGUAGAUAUACUAUAUUCAAUAUACCAACUAAAAAGAUAAAUAACAUCUAGCAAGAAAAAUUCUGCUUUCCGGUGAAAGUUAAAUCACAUCAAAAGUACAUUUAAAUUGACGUUAUUUUACCACUUUGGCCUGUAGACGUCUAUUUCUUAAAAACUGGACAAAACCACUAAUUUUAAUUGCAAAAAAGAAGAGAAAAGAAAUGAAAAUACAUUUCGUUAACGAUAGAUCUCAUGAAAAUUGAAACUGAUCAUUGAGGUCAUUCUUGCAGUAUCGAUGUAUAAAUUGAUUAUUCUUAAGUUUCAUAUCGAACGACCGGUUCACCCUAGAACGAACAUAGAAUUCGUCGCUCAUGGAACGUCGACUAUUUCAAAGCUCCUCGUAGUCGCCUUAAUUAAGCGCCGUAGAUGCUUAAUUCAAUGGUAUCCGAGAGUUGGAGGAACAUCUAACGACUCAAUGUCGUCGAGGACGGUGCAUGUAAUAGACCAUGGUGCGCUACUAACAAGUUUAUGGCACCGAAUUGAUUGGAGUAGAAGUUUACGGUGGUUUUACACCCGACCUGUCUCGCGUCGAUACGGUUGCAAUCCGAGACUAUUCGAAUUUUAAACGAGUUUAGAACCCUCCCCCCGUGAUCUUAGGCGCGAAUGAAGAUCUUCGAAGAGAAAAUAGGAAGAGAAGUGUGGCAUUAUGUGGGAUCCGGUUAUACGAGCGAAUUCGAUGCUUGAAAAUAAUUAAACAAUAGGUUUGUACGAACGUUGAGUUGAUUUUGCUUCCGCUUUGGAGCUAAGACUAAUUUCUUUGUUAUCUAAUUAUUAAUAUGAUUUUCGUGAGAUAUGCUUUCAGGCAUUACUUUUGUCUUUUACAGUUUAAUGCUGUGUAGUGUUUCUUUAAGGUUUCUUAACUUUUAAAUCAUUUAUAGUAUUUGAAUUUAUUAUUAAUAAAGGAAGAAUAUGUAAAAUGAAUGAAUUGAAAAGUCUUAUUUUCUGAUUUACUAAUCAAAAUUUAACCGAUUUGUUUGGAUAAUAUUUAUGUUUUAAUAAUUUUAUUAAAAUAUUGUAUGCGUUUUAUUAAAAUUUGUAACUUGAAAACAAGCUUGAGUGAUUGUAUAAACAUAUUUUAUUAUUUUUAAGUAUUGAAUUUAUUAAAACAAAUCCCACAUAGGAUGCUACACCCUACUACAGCAUUUAUAUUUAGCUAAAGUAUUUAAAUUGUAAUUAUAUCAUUCUUAUUCUUUUACUAUUUUAAAAUUAGAUAAAACUUUGUUAGAAAAAUCUAAUAUCUACUAUGUGGCGCUAGAUUUUUCACUGUUUCAAAUCUUACUGACAAUGCAAGUUUAAUUUAUCAUCCAAAUCCAAUUUAAUUUAUUAUCCAAAUGUUUGUGUUAUUAAAAAUAACGAGAAUAUGAAAAUAGGCAAAAUAAAUAAAAUACUUUUUGUAAGAACAUAACAGUACCUAGAUGGCCUGCAUUUAAAAUAUCUGAAUUUACUAACUUCAUAUUAACUUUUAUAUUUCUUUUAUCCCAAAUAAAAAGAAAUUAUGUAAUACGUUUCAAAUUUAACAGAAGAAAAUCAUCAAAAUCUAUUAAAAGAAAUAUUCUAUAUAAAAUAAGCUACUAAAUUUUUAUUUAAAUUUAAUCCUAUGCAAUCCACAAAUCAUGUGCAUUCUUCUCUUAAAAUUAGUUCCUAUACCUUUGACCAAAUAGCAUGCACGUAAAUAAAAUUCCAAAAUAUUAAAAGAAACAUCUUAAACGCAAGAUGACGAGAGGAAAUGUUUAACAGAUUGUGUGAAUUAAUUAUAACAGCAUACUAUCACCCCUUUCAAAUAUCAAACAACAUAUGACAUAUUAUUCUAUGGGAA